UUUUUUCAUUUUUCCUUCUCUUCUCCUCAGCCAUUGCCAAACAGAGAGAAAAUGGCGAUUCAGAUAUCGAGUAAGCCAUGGUUCCUCGACGCAAUUCCUAUCUUGGUAGCAAUUUUAAUUGUUGCUCAUGUACUCGCUCUGGUUUACUGGAUUUACAGAUUAGUUAGAACUGAGAAACAGCCAAUGAGGAGAAAGGAAAGCUAGCUACAAGUUGUUUAGUUUGCAGAAGAAGAAGAAGAAGAAGAUGAAGAAGAAAUAUUUUCUGCAGAUUAAUUAAUCAUGGGUUGUUGGAUGGAUGGAUAGAAACACAACUUUCUCUACUGAAAUGUAUUCAGUAAAAGCAUUGUUGCAGAUUAAUCAAGCUGUUUUUGUAUCAUUCUCAUAUUGUCUAGGUGAGUCUUUUCCAACAAAAUUAAAUGAAUUGAUUGCACUUCUUU